UAUUGGGCGUAAGAGCUCGUAGGCGGUUUGUCGCGUCUGCCGUGAAAGUCCGGGGCUUAACCCCGGAUCUGCGGUGGGUACGGGCAGACUUGAGUGAUGUAGGGGAGACUGGAAUUCCUGGUGUAGCGGUGAAAUGCGCAGAUAUCAGGAGGAACACCGAUGGCGAAGGCAGGUCUCUGGGCAUUAACUGACGCUGAGGAGCGAAAGCAUGGGGAGCGAACAGGAUUAGAUACCCUGGUAGUCCAUGCCGUAAACGUUGGGCACUAGGUGUGGGGGACAUUCCACGUUUUCCGCGCCGUAGCUAACGCAUUAAGUGCCCCGCCUGGGGAGUACGGCCGCAAGGCUAAAACUCAAAGGAAUUGACGGGGGCCCGCACAAGCGGCGGAGCAUGCGGAUUAAUUCGAUGCAACGCGAAGAACCUUACCAAGGCUUGACAUGAACCGGAACGGCGCAGAGAUGUGUCGGCCACUUGUGGCCGGUUUACAGGUGGUGCAUGGUUGUCGUCAGCUCGUGUCGUGAGAUGUUGGGUUAAGUCCCGCAACGAGCGCAACCCUCGUUCCAUGUUGCCAGCGGGUUAUGCCGGGGACUCAUGGGAGACUGCCGGGGUCAACUCGGAGGAAGGUGGGGACGACGUCAAAUCAUCAUGCCCCUUAUGUCUUGGGCUUCACGCAUGCUACAAUGGCCGGUACAAAGGGUUGCGAUGCUGUGAGGUGGAGCUAAUCCCAAAAAGCCGGUCUCAGUUCGGAUUGAGGUCUGCAACUCGACCUCAUGAAGUCGGAGUCGCUAGUAAUCGCAGAUCAGCAACGCUGCGGUGAAUACGUUCCCGGGCCUUGUACACACCGCCCGUCAAGUCACGAAAGUUGGUAACACCCGAAGCCGGUGGCCUAACCCCUUGUGGGAGGAGCCGUCGAAGUGGGACCG
rnacentral:rRNA from 1 species